GAUGAACGCUGGCGGCGUGCCUAAUACAUGCAAGUCGAGCGAACGGACGAGAAGCUUGUUUCUCUGAUGUUAGCGGCGGACGGGUGAGUAACACGUGGAUAACCUACCUAUAAGACUGGGAUAACUUCGGGAAACCGGAGCUAAUACCGGAUGAUAUUUUGAACCGCAUGGUUCAAAAGUGAAAGACGGUCUUGCUGUCACUUAUAGAUGGAUCCGCGCUGCAUUAGCUAGUUGGUAAGGUAACGGCUUACCAAGGCAACGAUGCAUAGCCGACCUGAGAGGGUGAUCGGCCACACUGGAGCUGAGACACGGUCCAGACUCCUACGGGAGGCAGCAGUAGGGAAUCUUCCGCAAUGGGCGAAAGCCUGACGGAGCAACGCCGCGUGAGUGAUGAAGGUCUUCGGAUCGUAAAACUCUGUUAUUAGGGAAGAACAUAUGUGUAAGUAACUGUGCACAUCUUGACGGUACCUAAUCAGAAAGCCACGGCUAACUACGUG
rnacentral:rRNA from 1 species